AUUAUAUUAAUGCAACCUUGGUGCGUUUCCAACAAUAAGGCCAUUUUAAUUUAUGAGUAGUCAUCCUCAGAGACACAUGGAUUGGAGGAGACCACUUAAAUAACCUUUGGGCAACGCUCAACUGAAAUGACACGAUAUGCAAAGGAAUGGAAAACAUAAGAGAUCAAACCAUGUUCUCUCUAAGAUUAGUUUCUAUUGAUGAUUGAUAUGAUUCUCAACUCUAAAUCCGAGAACAGGAUGAAUUAUGCAAGGACAAAAAGAAUUAUCGACACGCAAGACGAAUGCAGCAGCGAUAAGGUUUCAGCUACUGCGUUUUAUUUGAAACUAUAAGAAGACUCCAAAUAAAAGUGUGACGAUGA